CACACUAAUUUAAGAAAAAUAUCGCCCAGCCCUUUUCGAAACAUCGUUCUUAUUGCGCCCUUCAGAAUAUUCGUCCUUUGUCAAAUCGUAAUUCCAAUUGAGCCCAUUGGCUGCGUCCAACUGACAAAUCAUCUGUCAGUUUCGCCGAUUUGUUUAUCCCUUUCGUUUUCUUCUAUGUUAAUUACGCCGUAUUGCAUCGAGCAUAAAAAUAUAAUAAAAAAGUUAAAAAUAGUGAAAAAUACCAGCAUUCCUCACUGGUACUAUCACUUAGUGGCACAACCAGAAACGUACCGCUUUGAGAAGCCACGGGAACCCGGAGAUUCCCCGGUCAAGUGGUGUCCCCAGAGGAAAUGCAGCUGAGUACAUGGCUACAGGAAGAAGUCAAAGAUCGACGCCUGCAACUGGGAUAACAUUCGUGUUCCCUAUUGGAUGACUCCCGCUAGCGGUGGGAAGUGGUCCAUUAUGUAUUUAAACAGGUAUUUUGUGUACAUUUAUCAUUAUCUUUAGUAACAUAAAUGCCGUAAAAGUACGGUAGCCAAGAGAA
rnacentral:lncRNA from 1 species